rnacentral:rRNA from 1 species
AUGACCUUUACUCCCAUCAAGCUUCUAGAUCCUAUUUGUAUUGAGAGGAUGAGGCGUAAGCAUAACAUUGCAUCUGGUCUUCUUGUUGAACAGGUGUCAAAAGAAUUGAAUGCUGAGAAACUUGGAAUCCGCAUGGGUGAUGUUAUUGAACGCUUCAAUGGAGAGUGUAUUUCUAAUACAACUGAGUUGGAAAAGAUGUUGCUGGAUAUAGGCGGAGACCAUUUUGAUCAAGCAAAAGUCUUAAAGGCCGAAACAGAUGUUCGAAUUCAAAUAUUUCGUGCCACAAAACGUUGCCGAAGAGUUAGAAAUUUGACCGUAACUGUAUCGGACUGUGGAGAAGACAUCAUAGAAGGCACUUACCCUAUUACUGAUGGCCCUUGGAGAUGA